GGGAGUCCACGCGGGAGCGCGCGCCGAGCGCGCUGAGAGGACGGCUGACGCGCCGUCGACCGUACGAACCUGACCGGGUCAUGCCGGCGUAGGGAGAUGUCAUGAACGUUCU
rnacentral:ncRNA from 2 species